GAUGAACGCUGGCGGCGUGCUUAACACAUGCAAGUCGAACGAAGCACUUUUGAUUGAUUUCCUCGGAAAGAUUUCACUUGUGACUGAGUGGCGGACGGGUGAGUAACGCGUGGGUAACCUGCCUCAUACAGGGGGAUAACAGUUAGAAAUGACUGCUAAUACCGCAUAAGCGCACGGUAUCGCAUGAUACAGUGUGAAAAACUCCGGUGGUAUGAGAUGGACCCGCGUCUGAUUAGUUAGUUGGUGAGGUAACGGCCCACCAAGGCGACGAUCAGUAGCCGACCUGAGAGGGUGACCGGCCACAUUGGGACUGAGACACGGCCCAAACUCCUACGGGAGGCAGCAGUGGGGAAUAUUGCACAAUGGGCGAAAGCCUGAUGCAGCGACGCCGCGUGAACGAAGAAGUAUUUCGGUAUGUAAAGUUCUAUCAGCAGGGAAGAUAAUGACGGUACCUGACUAAGAAGCACCGGCUAAAUACGUGCCAGCCGCCGCAGUAAUAC
rnacentral:rRNA from 1 species